UUAGAAGUUAGUCUAUUUAGCAUGCUGUAUCCUUCUUCCAUGGGUUUUGGUUACAGGUUAUACGAUUAGGAUUGCGAGAACAGUAGUGAACUAAACUUCCCAGUAAGAGGUCUUCACACCAGGGAAGUGUUACUUUGCUGCAGCAGCCCUGCCUCGUCAGUCAUUAGGAAGCUGCAGGUUGUCAGAGGCUUCUCUUGCGCGCACACACGCGCAGACACACACACGCACACACACAAAACCACAGCACUAAAACUAAAUUAAGAAGCCGAUGAUUAAGACAAGCGUCUACGAGGCCUGUCAUUUCAGCAUCCUUCCAUCAUAACAUUGUGGCACCGAGAAAUUUGCUUGAAAACCCCGGAAAAAAUGUCUAUGGGAGAGCCUCCUGUUUGAGAUAGCAUAAAUGUUAACUUCAAAUAUAGACUGGGAACUGCCUCGGAUGCAAGAUAGUAUUCCGCAGAGGAAAGGAGCACUGCAGAGACCUUUGGGCUACCCGUGCACUCCCGAAACUCUGGAUUGACUUGAUCGUCCCUGAAAACGCAGAACAGCCCAUGAGAUCUCUCCCUUCAAACCAAGCGUGUGGAAGAUGCUUGCAAAAGAGCCCUGGAAACAAAACAACUUGACUGAAGGCGGCUUGUGCAACAAUUGUGUCGUGGAAUACCUAACAUUUCUUUAUCUUUAACUUAUUUCCUUUUGGAUAAUGUCAAUAAAUAUCAGCUAUGCCAAGCACA